rnacentral:tRNA from 2 species
GGAUGUGUAGCUCAGCUGGUUAGAGCGCUUCGUUCACAUCGAAGAGGUCGUUGGUUCGAGUCCAAUCACAUCCACCA